AUUUUUAGAUGCUUAUGAUUAGAAACUGUUUAGAUUAUGUUAGAUCAUGUUAAAUGUUCAACUACACAAUAGAUUGUUUAGAAUAUGAACAGAUUGAGGCAAUGGAACCUUUAUCGUUUAAUAGUUAAAUUAAGGUUUAAGAAAUAUAAUUGUUUUACUUCUUCUAACUAUUUUAUUCAAUUAUUUGUAAUCAAAGUUCUGCAUGUAACUUCGAAAAAUCGCAUUAAUUUUUAUUAUAUUUCAUCUAACUUUAAAAAAUGCUAAUGAAGUUAAAGUAACACAUUGUAAGGAGAAAAUGCAAAAGAAAAAAAAGAAUAUUGGCUGUUAUCGUGUCGUUGCAGAUGAAAUGGAAUGUGUCGCUAUACUGUAAAGCAGCGACGAAAACUGAACGACCAUUUCGAACAAUCCAAGGCUUACAUCACAGUAACGAAAUGAUUGAAGCAACUGUUGAAUAUGUAAAUGAGAAAAGUACGUUUCAGAGUAUUUUAAUUAAAUUGCACUGGUCUGGGAUUUGCUAGUAUAUUUAAAGAAUCUAAAUGCGACAAAUCGUUCAUAAAGUGACUUACAUCGCAGUGAUAUUACGAAAUAGAUUAAAAGAAAGUAAGAUAAGAUUUAUUUAUACGAUUCAGAUAAGCAACUAUAACCAAUUUUUAUCAGUAUCAACGUAGAUUUGUCAGAUGGACUUCUAAAAAUAAUGUUUUCCACAUCGAUGAAACACAUUUUAUGUAUAUGCGCAUACAUAGAAAAAACUAUUGAAAAUACAAAUACACAUUUAAGGCAGAAAUUUUUAUCUAAAUUUUAAUUCACAUGAAGCCUCAUUCUGAAACUUUAAGUAUAACAACACGGCGCUGGUAAACUGAUUUCUCAAAGUGAUGACGCUCGCACCAAAUAUAAACAUGCAAUGAAAAAACUUUCAAUUGUAGUAAUUUUAACUUCAUCUCUUCAAAUGUAUUACCGACAGGUUGUUGAAAUUUUUCUGAUUAA